UAUUAAAGUGCGCAACAUCAACAAGCGGUAGCCAUAACAACCCGCAACAACAGGGACACCAGGGAGACAGAUCUUCACGCUGUCCCGGGGAAGGAGACGUGUUGCCGGGGUCACUGCAUACCAAACCACUGUUCCUGAUCGGCCCACUGUGCUGCUUCACUGUCACUGCCCUCCAGAUCUCCAUCCUCCCCACUGCCCUCCAUGUCGUCGCCGUCCAGCUCCACUGUGGCGUCCGUGGGACUCUCCUCCUUCUCCAUUUUCUGCAUGCCUUCUAGAGACUUCUGGUCAUUUGGAUCCAGGCUGAGGAGAGAUGAAAUAAAAAUGCAAAAACUUA